AUUGAACGCUGGCGGCAUGCUUUACACAUGCAAGUCGAACGGCAGCACGGGCUUCGGCCUGGUGGCGAGUGGCGAACGGGUGAGUAAUAUAUCGGAACGUACCCAGAAGUGGGGGAUAACGUAGCGAAAGUUACGCUAAUACCGCAUACGAUCUAUGGAUGAAAGCAGGGGACCGCAAGGCCUUGUGCUCCUGGAGCGGCCGAUAUCUGAUUAGCUAGUUGGUGAGGUAAAGGCUCACCAAGGCGACGAUCAGUAGCUGGUCUGAGAGGACGACCAGCCAAACUGGAACUGAGACACGGUCCAGACUCCUACGGGAGGCAGCAGUGGGGAAUUUUGGACAAUGGGCGCAAGCCUGAUCCAGCAAUGCCGCGUGAGUGAAGAAGGCCUUCGGGUUGUAAAGCUCUUUUGUCAGGGAAGAAACGGUAGAGGCUAAUAUCCUUUGCUAAUGACGGUACCUGAAGAAUAAGCACCGGCUAACUACGUG
rnacentral:rRNA from 1 species